UAUUCAUUGGAGGUUAGGUGACACAGGGUCGCGGACAAGAGUCCAAGAGAAAGAAUUAAGUAUAGAGAUGGGUCGCCUAUCUUCCUUCGUUCCUCGUUUCAUUGUCUUCAUGUUGAUAAUUUCAGUUCUGGCCAUGCAAUCGGCUCCAACAAGUGCAGAUUUAAAGUUGCGCAAGCUGGGCAAAAAACCCUUGCCAAGCCCGCCUCCUACUCCAUCGUGGGCCAGGACGAAGAGCCAUUUCCCUGUUAUUCCAUCACCAGCACCGUUCUAGCUAGACUCAUGCCCAGCUGUAUACUUGCUACCAUUAUAAGUGUGAAAGUAUAGCUAGUGUUUUUGCAAAAAAAUUUGACAAGAGUCACUAGUUACAUUACGGUUGUGUUUAAUACUUUAUAAUGUACGACGAUUGAAAGUAAUGUGAUUACAAAUAAUGUGAUUGUAGGAAAAA